GACGAACGCUGGCGGCGUGCCUAAUACAUGCAAGUCGAGCGAAGCGGCGGAUGGGUGAGUAACGCGUAGGUAACCUGCCCUUAAGGCUGGGAUACUAUUUGGACACAGAUGCUAAUACCGGAUACUAAAGGAUGGACCUGCGAUGCAUUAGCUAGUUGGUAAGGUAACGGCUUACAAAGGCGAUGAUGCAUAGCCGAGUUGAGAGAAUGAUCGGCCACAUUGGGACUGAGACACGGCCCAAACUCCGACGGGAGGCAGCAGUAGGGAAUCUUCCACAAUGGACGAAAGUCUGAUGGAGCAACGCCGCGUGAGUGAAGAAGGUUUUCGGAUCGUAAAGCGCUGUUGUUGGUGAAGCGGUAAUCAACCAGAAAGUCACGGCUAACUACGUGCCAGCAGCCGCGGUAAUUC
rnacentral:rRNA from 1 species